rnacentral:lncRNA from 1 species
AUCCGCGGCAAUUCAAGUUCUAUUCGUGAACUUUUCGUCGCCCUCCUGUCUUUAUUUCCAUAAAGCCCGCUCGCAGGCUAAUACUCCAAGAAUCUUGGAGUAUUUGCCUGACACGUGACCAGCGUUUACCAGGGCCUCGCCCGCUUUGGCGGCCAUAUUAAAAAAUCGGGCGGGCAGGCCCUGGGUACGAGGUUGGUGCCUAUGAUUAA